rnacentral:rRNA from 1 species
GACGAACGCUGGCGGCGUGCCUAAUACAUGCAAGUUGAGCGAUGAAGAUUGGUGCUUGCACCAAUUUGCAGAGCAGCGAACGGGUGAGUAACGCGUGGGGAAUCCGCCUUUGAGCGGGGGACAACAUUUGGAAACGAAUGCUAAUACCGCAUAACAACUUUAAACAUAAGUUUUAAGUUUGAAAGAUGCAAUUGCAUCACUCAAAGAUGAUCCCGCGUUGUAUUAGCUAGUUGGUGAGGUAAAGGCUCACCAAGGCGAUGAUACAUAGCCGACCUGAGAGGGUGAUCGGCCACAUUGGGACUGAGACACGGCCCAAACUCCUACGGGAGGCAGCAGUAGGGAAUCUUCGGCAAUGGACGAAAGUCUGACCGAGCAACGCCGCGUGAGUGAAGAAGGUUUUCGGAUCGUAAAACUCUGUUGGUAGAGAAGAACGUUGGUGAGAGUGGAAAGCUCAUCAAGUGACGGUAACUACCCAGAGAGGGACGGCUAACUACGUG